UACGUAGGGCGCAAGCGUUGUCCGGAAUUAUUGGGCGUAAAGAGCUCGUAGGCGGUUUGUCGCGUCUGCUGUGAAAACCUAAGGCUCAACCUUGGGCUUGCAGUGGGUACGGGGCAGACUAGAGUGCGGUAGGGGGUGACUGGAAUUCCUGGUGUAGCGGUGGAAUGCGCAGAUAUCAGGAGGAACACCGAUGGCGAAGGCAGGUCACUGGGCCGCAACUGACGCUGAGGAGCGAAAAGCAUGGGGGAGCGAACAGG
rnacentral:rRNA from 1 species